UAAUAUGCAUCAUGCAUGGGGGUCAUACAACUAUAAAAUAGCAGACAAAGAGAGAGGUAUCUCUCCCUAUAUUUGUGAAGGAGCUAGGGUUGAACCUGUUGCUGCAACCAAAUGUUCAUUUCUGUUGCAUUCUAAAGCAUAAAACCUCAACAUAUUCUCCCUCUUGCCUGAUCUGAGGUGAGGAAAGCUGGUUGCAGACAUUAAAUUUUUUAAGUCAUUUUCUAGGCAUGAUCUCUCUGGAUGACUUGAAUCCCUAAACACUGCUGUUCUUUGAUCAUUUAUACUUGGAGUUGCAAACAAAGACUAGCUAAAGACCAUGAUGGCAAGUGAUAGUAUUGAAGAUUCCGAGACCAGCCAGGACAACAACAACAAGGAAGGCUGCAGUGAAGAUGAAGAGGAGGAGGUGAACAAGAGUAACAGCAAGGCAGCAAAUGGAGAGAGCUCAAGCAAUAGCUCAAUUGAAGAAAAUGGGAAGAAGCAUGCUUCUGGAUCUGUUAGGCAGUAUAAUCGUUCCAAGACACCCAGACUCCGGUGGACUCCUGAUCUCCAUCUUUGCUUUGUUCAUGCAGUUGAAAGACUAGGAGGACAAGAUAGAGCAACACCCAAGUUGGUUCUUCAAUUGAUGAACAUCAAAGGCCUUAGCAUAGCUCAUGUGAAGAGUCAUCUACAGAUGUACAGAAGCAAGAAGAUUGAUGACCCCAAUCAAGCCAUGACAGAGCAAGGGCUUCUGUUUGAAGGUGGAGAUCACCCUACAUACAAACUCAGCCACCUUCCCAUGCUGCACAGUUUUGAUAAUCAGAGGCCUUCUUCAAGUUUUCGGUAUGGUGAUGUUUCGUGGAGAGGGAAUGAUCAAAAGGUCUAUGGCUCUCAUAGGGGUGGCAGUGCAUUGGCGUUGGAUAUAGCAACAAAAGGGCUUUACACUUCGGUCACAGAGAGAUUGUUUGGAAGCUAUCACAAUAACUCACUUGGCAUUAGUUCCCCAAUGGCUGAUUCUUGUGUCAGAGGAAAAGCUGCUUCAGGAAGAAGAACUCACCAAACGCUGGAAGAAGUUCAAUCUCUUCCUGGAUCCUGGCAAACACAAACAAGGCCAAGCAGAUUAGGUCCCAUUACUUUCACAGCCCAGUUUCAGGAGAGAGGAACAGAUCAAACUAGAUGUCUGAGCAGCAUCAACAAUUCAAAGCAAAAUAGCUGGAGAAUGACUCAAGAAGCCCAAGACAGGCUGAAGAGGAAGACUUCGGCUUCAAAUCAUGACCUGGAUUUAAAGUUAUCCCUGAAAAUGACACCACCAAACAUUAAUGAUGAUGAUGAAUCUGAAAGGGAUAGUUUGGAAAGAUUUGCUGGUAGUUUGUCUCUUUCUUUAUCUUCACCUUCAUCAUCUUCGAAGCUUAGCAGCUUGAAGGAAGGAAAUGCUGAUGGCAGAAAGCAUUCAAGGACCAUGGCAAGUACCCUGGAUCUGACUCUAUGAAAGAGACAUUAAAUGAUCAGAUCUUGAAGCACUUGAUCAAUGAGACAAUUCAUAAUCAAUGUGGAAUGAGACAAUUCGUAUUCAAUGCAGAUGUAUUUGACAGGAAAUUAUAAUGCAGUGAUCUUACAAGAGAGUUCCAUCAAAAUCUACAUUAUUCUAUGCAUGUAGAUAUCUUGGGGGGCAGAAGAUUUUUUCCUGAAGGGCUUUAGCAUCUUAAUUCAGAAAUUAGUGUAUGCAUGGUUCCUUGUGUUCAUCAUAUGCAAAUGGGUUUCUAUUGCUUUA